rnacentral:rRNA from 1 species
GAUGAACGCUAGCUACAGGCUUAACACAUGCAAGUCGAGGGGUAACGAGAGGAAAGCUUGCUUUCCUUGUCGACGACCGGCGCACGGGUGAGUAACGCGUAUCCAACCUGCCCCCAACUAAGGAAUAACCUUGCGAAAGUAAGACUAAUACCUUAUAAUUUCCUCAGAUGUCAUCUGACGAGGAAUAAAGAUUUAUCGGUUGUAGAUGGGGAUGCGUCUGAUUAGCUUGUUGGCGGGGGAACGGCCCACCAAGGCAACGAUCAGUAGGGGUUCUGAGAGGAAGGUCCCCCACAUUGGAACUGAGACACAGUCAAAACUCCUACGGGAGGCAGCAGUGAGGAAUAUUGGUCAAUGGUCGGAAGCCUGAACCAGCCAAGUAGCGUGCAGGAUGACGGCCCUAUGGGUUGUAAACUGCUUUUAUACAGGAAUAAAGUUAGCCACGUGUGGUUAUCUGUAGGUACUGUAUGAAUAAGGACCGGCUAAUUCCGUGCCAGCCGCCGCCGUAA